rnacentral:misc_RNA from 1 species
AUAUAUAUCAACCUUCUCUUUUUGAGUGGGUUUGGAUGUGGGGGUUUUGCUGGCCUCUUAAAGGGUUCAGCUCCUCUGAAAUGCAUUAGCAGAACGACCUGUUCAUUGGUGUGAUAACUAUCUACGCUAUUGAAUGUGAGGGGCAGUUCAGCUUUCUAACUGUCCUUGGACAACUUAUCAUUA